GUAGGUGGCAAGCGUUGUCCGGAAUUAUUGGGCGUAAAGCGCGCGCAGGCGGUUCUUUAAGUCUGAUGUGAAAGCCCACGGCUCAACCGUGGAGGGUCAUUGGAAACUGGAGAACUUGAGUACAGAAGAGGAAAGCGGAAUUCCACGUGUAGCGGUGAAAUGCGUAGAGAUGUGAGGAACACCAGUGGCGAAGGCGGCUUUCUGGUCUGUAACUGACGCUGAGGCGCGAAAGCGUGGGGAGCAAACAGGAUUAGAUACCCUGGUAGUCCACGCCGUAAACGAUGAGUGCUAAGUGUUAGGGGGUUUCCGCCCCCCUUAGUACUGCAGCUAACGCAUUAAGCACUCCGCCUGGGGAGUACGGCCGCAAGGCUG
rnacentral:rRNA from 1 species